UAACGGCUGAACCAGCAACUUGGAGGAAUGUAUAGCGAAAGCUAAUUAUAUCAUAUUUAUAUGGUAAAAUAUUGAUUUAAUUGAAUAAAAUUCUGGCUAGAAUUUGAUAAUGACAUUUUCUAUCUAUAUUUCUUGACUAAACCACGUGCCAGCAGUCGCGGCAACACGUAGCAGAUAAGUGUUAUUCAUCUUUAUUAGGUUUAAAGGGUACCUAGACAGCAGAUCAAGCUUUUAUAAAUAUAAUUUAAUAGGACUAGUUUGCUAGAGUUACUUAUGAUGGGGCUCGGAAGUACUUUCGGUGUAGAGAUAAAAUUCUUUAAUACCCUAUCAAUGAUAUUAAUGGCACUGGUAAAGGCGAAAGCAUCCUCUUAUGUGAUAACUGACGUUGAAG
rnacentral:rRNA from 1 species